GUGGGGCAGCAGGUUUGUAGCAAUACAGAUGCUGGCGACCGGCAAACGGGUGCGUAACACGUACGCAACUUACCCAUUACUGGUGAAUAGCCCAGGGAAACUUGGAUUAAUACACCAUAAUACAUAGAAAAGGCAUCUUUUUUAUAUUAAAGCUUCGGCGGUAAUGGAUGGGCGUGCGGUUGAUUAGAUAGUUGGCGGGGUAACGGCCCACCAAGUCUACGAUCAAUAGCUGAUGUGAGAGCAUGAUCAGCCACACGGGCACUGAGACACGGGCCCGACUCCUACGGGAGGCAGCAGUAAGGAAUAUUGGGCAAUGGACGAAAGUCUGACCCAGCCAUGCCGCGUGAAGGAUGAAGGUCCUCUGGAUUGUAAACUUCUUUUAUCUGGGGCGAAAACCUCCCUUUCUAGGGGGCUUGACAGUACCAGAAGAAUAAGCACCGGCUAACUCCGUGCCAGCAGCCGCGGUAAUACGGAGGGUGCAAGCGUUAUCCGGAUUCACUGGGGUUUAAAGGGUGCGUAGGCGGGCAGGUAAGUCAGUGGUGAAAUCCCCGAGCUU
rnacentral:rRNA from 1 species